CCUCCUUGGCUUCCCAAAGUGCUGGGAUUCCAGGCAUGAGCCACCAUGCCCAACACAAAAUCGUUUUUAUGAACCAUUUUACUGUCCUUUAAGUGAGAAGAGUGAUAAAACUUACUCACUAAAGCUAUUGGGAAGACUGCAGGAGAUAACCUAACUCCUUGACACAGAAAAGGUACUUAUUUUUAUUGUAGUAGGUAACAACACUGAAAGAACUACCUUGUUGAGGAAAUUUAAGAUCCCCCUGUAUGUGUUCUAUUUUUUUUUUUAAUUGAGGUAGAGUCAUGCAUAUUAUAAAGCACUUAAAGUUUAUAGAUCUUAAGUGUACAGCUCAAUGAAUGAUUACGUAUAUACACACCUGAUGGUUUGAACUGUCACCCAGAUCAAGAUAGAGAACCCUGCCAGCACCCGACAAGGUCCCUCAAGUCCCAAGUGAGAACCUCCCUCCUAGGUAACCGCUAUCCUGAUUCCUUUCACUAUGGCCUUUGUAUAAACAGAGUCAUGCAGUGUGUGCUCUUUCAUUAGGUUUCUUUCUUUCAUAAUGCCUGUGAGAUAUAUCCAAGUUGCAUAUGCAUCAGUAGUUCUUUUCUGUUGCUCUGUCAUAUUCCAUUCAAAAUACCAGUAUUGAUCCAUUCUCCUGUUGAUGGAUAUUUAGCUUACUCCCAGUUUGGGGCAGUUACACAGUUUAUGCUGCUAGGAACAUUCUUAUUUAUACAUGUCUUUGGAUGGAUAUAGCAUUGCUUUCUCUUGAGCAUUUUCCUGAGAUUAUAGUUGCCGAGUCAGAGGAUGUGCAUCUACAGCUCUUUGGUGUACUCGUACCAGUUUACACUUGCACCAGCGUUGUAUGGGAGAUCGAUUUGUUUCUAAUGCCAUUGACAAAAUCAGUUUAUAUUUUUUGAAAACAAAACUCCAUUUAUUUUAUAAAUCAAAUCCAAUGACUUUGGUAAAACUAGAACCAAAGAAAAAAAUACCUCAACACUUUGAAAGAGAAUUUAAACACGGUCUUAAAAAUUUUGCAACACAUCAAAUAUAAUAAUGGUGAUGAGCUUUUUGUGAUUCUUUCAAAGCAUAAAAUAUAUUCCACAUCACCUUUUAUUUAAGAAAUUCCUCUGGAAUACAGUGAAUUCUCACAUUAAGGAGGGCUAAACAAACUUACAUUGUUCUCAGUAAGAUAUAAGUUAUUUUUAGUCAGGUGCAGUGGAUCACACCUAUAAUCCCAGCCCUUUGGGAGGCCGAGGCAGGCAGUUCACGUGAGUCCAGCAGUUAGAGAGCACCCUACAUACAUUGGUGAAACCCUGUCUCCAUAAAAAAUGUAAAAAGUUAGCCAGGCUUGGUGGCACGUGCCUGUGUUCCCAGCUACUCAGUGGCUUUGAUGGGAGGAUCACGAGCCCUGGAGGCCAAGGUUGCAAUGAGCCAUGAUUUGCCACUGCAUUCCAACCUGGGCAACAGAGUAAAACCCUGUCUCAAAAAAGAAAAAUUCUUUCUGAUGGAGCUUUGUCACCUGUUCUUCUCUGUUUCUGGUCAUAUUUUUGUUUUUCUCUCAAAGGAAACGUAUUUGCUUUGAAUCUAGAGGCAGUCCAUUUUCUCUUCGUCUUUGUAUUUAUUCAUAUGUAUGUUCCAAAGAGCUUAAGAGUAUACAUCAAAUUAUAGUGUUCAGCCUGGGCAACAUAGCGAGACCCCGUCUCUACGCCCCUGUAAUUCCAGCUACAUGGCACUCUGAUGCAGGAGGAUCGCCUGAGCUCAAGGAAUCCUCCUGCCUCAGUGUUCAAGGCUGUGGUGAGCUAUGCACUGCAGUCUAGGCUGUCUGAAAAAAAAAGAAAAAAAAAACAAUUAUAGUGUUUAUUUUAUUAAAAAUAACAUAAUUACUAAACAUCAAUUCUGUGCCAGACACAACGCUAAAGCCUCAUAUAACAUCUCAUUUGACUUCUCUAGCAAUCUUAAAGGAAGUUACCAUUGUUUCUCAGCAUUUUCUAGUGAGAAAACGAAGACAUAAAGGUUAACUUGCUCAGGUCACACAGGAUUUGAACCCAAGUGCUCCAACUUUAGGGUGGGUACUGCUAAGCAAGAUGUUAUAGCACCUCUGUUUAGAAGAGCAAAAGUAAUUUUUGUUACCAGCUAUGGUAUAAAUGGCCUUCGUGACCUUUUUGGGUUUUCUUUCCUAUUGCUGUAACCAAGUACACAGGCAAAACAAAGUGAAGCGGUAAUUUAACUUGCAUUCUUGAGGACUGUUAGUUAUACUUAAAAAAAAAAAUGCUUCC